rnacentral:rRNA from 1 species
GCGUAGUCGAUGGGAACCAGGUUAAUAUUCCUGGGCCAGCGGGUAGUGACGGAUUGCGGAAAUUGUCCAUCCUUACUGGAUUGGUUGGGCAGUGAAGCCGUCCCUGGAAAUAGCUCCCGCAUGAGACCGUACCCCAAACCGACACAGGUGGACUGGUAGAGAAUACCAAGGCGCUUGAGAGAACUCUGUUGAAGGAACUCGGCAAAUUACUCCCGUAAGUUCGCGAGAAGGGAGCCUGGCAUCAGGCAACUGGUGUCCAGGGGCACAGACCAGGGGGUGGCGACUGUUUAUUAAAAACACAGGGCUCUGCGAAGUCGUAAGACGACGUAUAGGGUCUGACGCCUGCCCGGUGCCUGAAGGUUAAAAGGAGGGGUGAG